rnacentral:rRNA from 1 species
UGGGGAAUUUUGCACAAUGGGGGAAACCCUUAUGCAGCGACGCCGCGUGAUUUAGAAGGCCUUCGGGUUGUAAAAAUCUUUUCUAUGGGAAGAAAAUGACAGUACCAUAGGAAUAAGGACCGGCUAAUUACGUGCCAGCAGCCGCGGUAAUACGUAAGGUCCGAGCGUUGUCCGGAAUCAUUGGGCGUAAAGGGUACGUAGGCGGGUAAGCAAGUUAGAAGUGAAAUCCUAUAGCUCAACUAUAGUAAGCUUUUAAAACUGCUCAUCUUGAGGUAUGGAAGGGAAAGUGGAAUUCCUAGUGUAGCGGUGAAAUGCGCAGAUAUUAGGAGGAAUACCGGUGGCGAAGGCGACUUUCUGGCCAUAACCUGACGCUGAGGUACGAAAGCGUGGGUAGCAAACAGG